rnacentral:piRNA from 1 species
UNCAUAGCAAGUUCAAGGACAGCCUAUGC